rnacentral:rRNA from 1 species
UACGUAGGCAGCAAGCGUUGUUCGGAGUUACUGGGCGUAAAGAGUAUGUAGGCGGUUCUGCAAGUCUGGUGUGAAAUCUCCCGGCCCAACUGGGAGGGUGCGCCGGAUACUGCGGGGCUAGAGUGCGGGAGAGGAGAGCGGAAUUCCUGGUGUAGCGGUGAAAUGCGUAGAUAUCAGGAGGAACACCGGCGGUGUAGACGGCUCUCUGGACCGCGACUGACGCUGAGAUACGAAAGCGUGGGGAG